rnacentral:rRNA from 1 species
AUUGAACGCUGGCGGCAGGCCUAACACAUGCAAGUCGAACGAGUGGCGGACGGGUGAGUAACGUCUGGGAAACUGCCUGAGGGAGGGGGAUAACUACUGGAAACGGCAGCUAAUACCGCAUACCAUCAGAUGUGCCCAGAUCGGAUUAGAUUGGUGGUGGGGUAACGGCUCACAAAGGCGACGACCCCUAGCUGGUCUGAGAGGAUGACCAGCCACACUGGAACUGAGACACGGUCCAGACUCCUACGGGAGGCAGCAGUGGGGAAUAUUGCACAAUGGGCGCAAGCCUGAUUCAGCCAUGCCGCGUGUAUGAAGAAGGCCUUCGGGUUGUAAAGUACUUUCAGCGGGGAGGCGUUACCCGCAGAAGAAGCACCGGCUAACUCCGUGCCAGCCGCCGCGGUAAUUC